rnacentral:lncRNA from 1 species
GCAAGGAAUGUGUGGAUUGACACAACAAUCUAGAGGUGUCCUAUGUUCAGAAUCUAUCACCUGUUGCUAAUUUACUUAUACCCAACAUCCACUGCUUUUUAUCCAAAUAAAUUCCGUCCAUCUUGCAAUCUCUAUGAUGUCCAGUAAAGCAAUAAGCGGUAGCAGUAAAGGGAACAUCCCAGGGUGGGGAGCAUGCCUCCCUCUCCUGUUCUCUUUCCAGGCUUGAAAGGCAGGAGGCACUACUCAGGAAUACACAGUCCUCCUGUCUCAGCUGACAGGCUAAGGAUCCCUCUGCUCUUAUGUGAAACUCACAUCUUUCUCUUCCUCCUCCUGUCCACCCCCAAAGCCCAUUUUGUACAGAGGAGAGAAAGAGUCUGUUCAGCACAAUUAAACCACCUACACACAGACUUACCAAGCAGAAAACAAAGAAUAAGGAAGAAAACAUCCGCCACCACCUGAGAACUGAUAACAAAUCGGUCACCAGUUAUGGGAUGGGGGGUGGUGCAAGUACCUCUCCAGAUACAGAGCAUGGCUCCCGUCUCCUUCCAAAUCUGAAUGAUGAAACCUUAU